rnacentral:rRNA from 1 species
CCUAUGGAGCUUCAAACCCAACUACACCCCUAACUCUAUAGCCCCUCAACCACACUGGCCCCUGUAUAGUUGAUUUUAGGUUGGGGCGACCACGGAGUAAAACAAAACCUCCAUAAUGAACGGGCCUACCCCCUUAUCUAAGAACCACACCCCCUAAGAAUUAGAAUACUAACAUAAAAUGAUCCAUUAUUUGAUUAAUGAACCAAGUUACCCUAGGGAUAACAGCGCAAUCCAUUUCGAGAGCCCAUAUCGACAAAU